GUCCAGACUCCUACGGGAGGCAGCAGUGGGGAAUAUUGGACAAUGGGGGAAACCCUGAUCCAGCGACGCCGCGUGAGUGAAGAAGUAUUUCGGUACGUAAAGCUCUAUCAGCAGGAAAGAAAAUGACGGUACCUGACUAAGAAGCCCCGGCUAACUACGUGCCAGCAGCCGCGGUAAUACGUAGGGGGCAAGCGUUAUCCGGAUUUACUGGGUGUAAAGGGAGCGUAGACGGCAGCGCAAGUCUGGAGUGAAAGCCCCGGGCUUAACCCGGGAAUUGCUUUGGAAACUGUACGGCUGGAGUGCUGGAGAGGUAAGCGGAAUUCCUAGUGUAGCGGUGAAAUGCGUAGAUAUCAGGAGGAACACCGGCGGCGAAGGCGGCUUACUGGACUGUAACUGACGUUGAGGCUCGAAAGCGUGGGGAGCAAACAGGAUUAGAUACCCCGGUAC
rnacentral:rRNA from 1 species